rnacentral:snRNA from 1 species
AGCUUUGCGCAGUGGCAGUAUCGUAGCCAAUGAGGUUUAUCCGAGGCGCGAUUAUUGCUAAUUGAAACAAAUGGAGCCCAUGAUACAGUGGCUGAAGUCCAGCAAAAUGU